rnacentral:rRNA from 1 species
GGAAUCUUGCGCAAUGGCCGAAAGGCUGACGCAGCGACGCCGCGUGUGGGAGGAAGCCUUUCGGGGUGUAAACCACUGUUGCCCGGGACGAACAGCUCCUUCAUGGAGCCUGACGGUAACGGGUGAGGAAGCACCGGCUAACUCCGUGCCAGCAGCCGCGGUAAUACGGGGGGUGCGAGCGUUGUCCGGAAUCACUGGGCGUAAAGGGCGCGUAGGUGGCUUGGUAAGCGUGUGGUGAAAGCCCGGGGCUCAACCCCGGGUCUGCCAUGCGAACUGCUAUGGCUUGAGCACUGUAGAGGCAGGUAGAAUUCCGGGUGUAGCGGUGGAAUGCGUAGAGAUCCGGAAGAAUACCGGUGGCGAAGGCGGCCUGCUGGGCAGUGGCUGACACUGAGGCGCGACAGCGUGGGGAGCAAAC